CACGUAUGGGGCGAGCGUUGUUCGGAAUUAUUGGGCGUAAAGGGUGCGCAGGCGGUUAUACAAGUCUGGUGUUAAAUCCCGCAGCUUAACUGCGGAGGGGCAUUGGAAACUGUAUGACUAGAGUUCUGGAGGGGUAGCUGGAAUUCCAGGUGUAGGGGUGAAAUCUGUAGAUAUCUGGAAGAACAUCAAUGGCGAAGGCAAGCUACUGGCCAUGAACUGACGCUGAGGCACGAAAGCGUGGGGAGCAAACAGG
rnacentral:rRNA from 1 species